GAUGAACGCUAGCGGCAUGCUUUACACAUGCAAGUCGAACGGUAACAGGUUAAGCUGACGAGUGGCGAACGGGUGAGUAAUGCAUCGGAACGUGCCCGGUCGUGGGGGAUAACACUUCGAAAGAAGUGCUAAUACCGCAUACGAUCUGAGGAUGAAAGCGGGGGACCGUAAGGCCUCGCGCGAUCGGAGCGGCCGAUAUCAGAUUAGGUAGUUGGUGAGGUAAAGGCUCACCAAGCCGACGAUCUGUAGCUGGUCUGAGAGGACGACCAGCCACACUGGGACUGAGACACGGCCCAGACUCCUACGGGAGGCAGCAGUGGGGAAUUUUGGACAAUGGGCGCAAGCCUGAUCCAGCAAUGCCGCGUGCAGGAUGAAGGCCUUCGGGUUGUAAACUGCUUUUGUACGGAACGAAACGGCGAGCUCUAAUACAGUUUGCUAAUGACGGUACCGUAAGAAUAAGCACCGGCUAACUACGUGCCAGCAGCCGCCGUAA
rnacentral:rRNA from 1 species